UACGGGGGAGCAAGCGUUGUUCGGAAUUACUGGGCGUAAAGGGCGCGUAGGCGGUUCGAUAAGUCCCGUGUGAAAUCCCUCGGCUCAACUGAGGAAUGGCACGGGGAAACUGACGGGCUUGAGUUCGGGAGAGGGAAGCGGAAUUCCGGGUGUAGCGGUGAAAUGCGUAGAUAUCCGGAGGAACACCGGUGGCGAAGGCGGCUUCCUGGACCGACACUGACGCUGAGGCGCGAAAGCUAGGGGAGCAAACGGG
rnacentral:rRNA from 1 species